UAUAUUUACUUUUAGUUUGCAUAAGAUAAAAAUUUGAGAUUUGGUUAACACUAAAUAUCCUGGGGAUAUGGUUUUGAUCUAGGGAAGCACGUUAUAAUUGAGGUUGGUUGUGGUUGAUUGCCUUGAUAAUCUCUCUAGAUCAUUUAACUUAUGUGGCAUAAGUGGUUUAUUUAAAUGAGUGGGUGCAGUACUGAUAAGGAAUCUAGUUAGUUUUAAAUUCGGCCUUAUUGAGAUUAAAAUAAGUGGUUUCAGAAUUUAUAACAUUGUUGAUUGAGUGAUCUGUUGAGUCUUAUCAGAGAUACACAAUUGUUAGGUACUGGAUUAGAGACAACAUUAAGUUUGUGAAUUCAUAUUAGCUUAGGAUGUGGGAAGGUAUUUUGAGGACAAGGUUUAUAUUCCUAAGAUUUAGAGUUUAUAAGUUAAUUCUUGAAGAAUGUUUUAAAUUAGGCUAGAAAUGUUUGCUAGGAAAAUAAUUACAGGAAGGUUGAAGUAAUUUAGAGUAUAAUCUUGAAAUAAUCUUGAUUAUUCUAGUUUUGUUAAAUAUUUCAGAAGUGUUUAUCAAGGAAAGAAAAUAGUGGUUCAACAUUUAGUGUGGGUUAAAUAAAAGAUGAGGAUCAAUAUUUUAGGGAUAUCUGACCAAUGCAAGUGAAGGAUAGACAUUAUAGUCUAGGGUAUGAUCAAAAGGAUGGUUUGGUUAUGUUCAAAUAUGUUUUUAGAAGUUUAUGGUCUUCAAGAAUUAUGAGUUGACUGUUGUAGUUAAGGGUGAAGGCAAUAUUACCGAGAAUCAGAUAAGUUCAUCAAGGACGAGUGGAGGAAAUGAUGCAUGAUCUUAAGUGUGGAAGGGUUUCUAUGGAUGUUAUAAAGCAUACUCAAUAUAAGUAUUACUUUUGGGCAAGUUCUUGAUAAAUGGGUAUAGAAAAGAAAACAUAAGGAUGAAUUAUUUAGUAAUAGUGUUUUGGACUCCGUGUAAUCAUCAGAGUAAUUAGAAAUUUUACGGAAAAUAGAAGUAUAGGGUAAGGUGGAGCAAUCUAGUAUAAAAUUUUGGUAAACAUAAGUGGCUUUUGGAGGCGUACGAUUUCUAGGAGUGGAAACUGUGUUGAGAAAAUAUAAUGGAAAGUUGUUACGGAAAAAGAAUGAUUCUUAGAGUUUUAGAGGGUCAUGGAAGUCUUAAAUAGGGAUCUAUAAGGAGAAUCACUUUCUGGUUAUAGUAGGAAUGAAAAGUUUUCUGGAAUUUUGUGAUUAAUAGUUUAUGAGUAAUGAGUUCUUUUAAAACAUUAAUGGAUUAUUUUGAGACUAGUGGGGUAUGUUUAAUGGUGGUUUUGACGAGGCUAGAAGUGACAAGUAAGAGUGUUCUGAAGGUUUAUGAUUUUAAUUUUUUUCGUGAGUACAUUUCAAUUUGAGAUGCUAGAAAUUGUAUGCACAAAAUAAGUAGAGUAAAUGAGUUUACAAGGAAACUAGAAGAUAAGGUGAAAUAAUCAUAACUUUAUUUUUUAUGUCGAAUUUUCGAAUUUUCGAGGACGAAAAUUUUUUUGUGUUGGGGAGAAUGUAAGAUCCAUAAAAAAAAAUAUUCAUAAUAGUAAAUUUUAGCAUUUUAUUAGUAAUAAUAAUUUUAGUGGAUAUAAAAAUGUAAAUUUUGGAUAUAAAAUUAUAGUAAUUUUAGAAGGAGAGGUUCAAAUUUUUGGUAAUUUAUUUAGUAUUUUUUUUAUUGUAUAAUAAAAUGUGAAUAGUACAUAGUAAAAGUGAAUAGUGAAUAGUAAAAAUAAAUUCUUAUCAUGAAAGAAAUUAGGAUUCCUUAGCAUGUAAGAAAUUAGGAUUUCUUAGCAUGGAAGAAAUUAGGAUCAGAAUUAAUAAGUAAAUGAUUAAAAUAUUUUUUUUAAAUAAUAUUAAAAUAAUAAAUAAUAUUAAAAUAUUAAUGAAUAGUAAAUUUUUUUACCUAUAAAUAGCCAUAGGAGGGAAGGGUAUUUUGCACCAAGAAAAGAGGAAUCAAGUGAGAGCUUGAGAAAUAGAGAAGAAAGAGUUAGGGAGAAAUUUUUAGUUGCAAGAAGAGUAGAGGUUCUGAAGGGUUUCGGGGGAAACAAAUUCGGAGUAGGAGAUUAAGUCUGGAAUAGAGAGUAAUGCUACUGAACUAGUAACUGGUGGUGAAUGGCUUGUAAACUUUAAGAUCAUCAAGAACCCCAGCGAUGGAACCUACUGUAGCUAUAAUUGUUAUGACGCAGCAUGUAGCACUAAGCAUCUGCAAGCAUAUCCAUUUUGUGCUCCACUUUGGUACUUUAGUUUGAACAAUAUACAUCUCCACAGGGAAAUACACAGUCAGUGGCCAAAAUCCAAUGGCUCCAAUGAGCCCCACAAUGUCAUUGAAGAAUGGAAGCAGCAUUGCCAUCACAGUGCAGAAGAUCACAAAAAUUGUUCUCCAGACCAACCGGAAGAGGUUCAGCUUCAAGGGUUUGAAACCAGGGAUUGGUACCUUAAAUUCCUUGGUCAGAAAAUCAUUGUCGGGGAAUUUUUGUGCUGCGUUGUUUUCAAUAAAUUGGAACAGGGGUUGGCAGUAAACUUGGUAUGCACCGACAAGGUGGACAAUAAUGGCAACAUUGGCUAUGUCGAGGAGCCAAUAUGGGUUAUAGAAGCCAAAACCAGUUAGCAGGUUUCCAGGGCUUGAAUCUCCAAAAGCUGCAUAGCCAAAACCACCACAUAGCAGAUAGAAAAUGCUUGUCACCAAGACACUCACUAAAGUAGCCUUCGACAUUGUCUUUGACUCUUCAGGAGGUGAUUUGAUUGUGUCCUGUUUCAUAACAACCCCUGUUUUAGUUUAUACUUCAACUUAUAAUAUUCCCAUUUAGAAUCAUACAGAUUGUUGAUGUAAAAUUUCAAUUCUGAUUAGAAAAAGAAUACAAAUAAGACCUAUGAAUCUAUCUUUUGAA